rnacentral:tRNA from 1 species
GUUCAAUAGCUGAGUGGAUAACGCGAUGGCGUUUAAAGCGAAAGGUGCUUGGUUUGAGUCCCAGAGUGAAU